UUCAACGACCAUACCACGUUGAAUUCAUCAGUUCUCGUCCGAUUACUGAAGUUAAGCAAAGUCAGGCGUAGUACUUGGAUGGGUGACCGCUUGGGAACAUUACGUGCCGUUGGCG